rnacentral:rRNA from 1 species
AUGAACGCUGACAGAAUGCUUCACACAUGCAAGUCGAUGGGGAAGUGGUGCUUGCACCAUGGCAACCAUGGCGGACGGGUGAGUAACGCGUAAGGGACUUACCUGCAGGACUGGGAUAACAGGGGGAAACUCCUGACAAGACCGGAUAAUGUCAUGGAGCUGCAUGGCUUUAUGAUGAAAGGAGACGCCUGCGGAGAGCCUUGCGUCCUAUUAGCUAGUUGGUGAGGUAAUGGCUCACCAAGGCGAAGAUAGGUAGCCGGCCUGAGAGGGUGGACGGCCACAAGGGGACUGAGAUACGGCCCUUACUCCUACGGGAGGCAGCAGUGGGGAAUAUUGGACAAUGGGGGCAACCCUGAUCCAGCAAUUCUGUGUGCACGAAGAAGGUUUUCGGAUUGUAAAGUGCUUUCAGCAGGGAAGAAGUAAGUGACGGUACCUGCAGAAGAAGCGACGGCUAAAUACGUG